UGCAAAUCAUGAUCUUCCUUUUCCUCUCUCUCUAUCUCCAACACAUAAACACAGAUCUCUCAUUUAGAUCUGGAUUCAAUCUCUCUCACAUUGCAAAUCAUGAUCUUCCGUUUUCUCUCAUUUUUCUCUCUCUCUCUCUAUCUCUCACACAUAAACACAGAUCUCUCAUUUAGAUCUGAAUUCAAUCCAGAUCUCUCAAUCAACCAUAUCAUUCAAACCCUAAGCAUCGAGUUGUAUCACCUGAAAAAGCGCACACAAAUUCUGGUCGACGGAUGGAAAGAGAGAUAAUAAGAAGAUAGAGAGUAGAGACAAAAAGGCCGGAGUUUUAGAGAGAUGCCAUGGUGGUGUACGACGGCGGCUCGGAUCUGUAUUUCUUGUAUUGGUUGGAUCUGGUUAUCGUUGAGGAUUUGUUGUUUUAUGAAGGAAUUGUGACGGGGAUGUGGAUGUGUAUCCACGGUGGUGCACGACGGUUGAAGGAGGAGCGACGGGAUGGGGAUCUGACUUCCGUCACCGGCGACUAACGCCCACCGAUGCCGGAUCUCCGCCGGAAAACCUCCGUUAAGGGUUCGUAUGUAAUCUAAGCUGAAUUUGUUAGGAUUCGUGUUUGUUUUCUUAGAUUAUUAAGUAAAGUUCGAGAGGAUUUUGUUUGUAGAUAUAUUAGGCUGAUAUAUCGAUGUAAUGGAAUAUGAUCCUGUUGCGAAUAAGAUGUAUUGGAUUGAGUUGUUAAAGUUAUGCUCUGUGUUUAGGGCUAGAUCUGAAGUACUGGACUGUGUUGUGGUAAAUAAGCAGAUAUGUGUCAAGUUUAUGAUGAAAAUCUCAUUUGGUUUAAUAUUCA